rnacentral:lncRNA from 1 species
AAAAACCUAGAGCUCUAGCAUCCAAAAGCUGCGCAUCAGCUUCAUCCUUUAAGAAAAACAACAGCUCUUUCCUCUUCAACCAAAACACCAAGUGUUAUCCAUGAAAAUACAGCCAUGAACCUCCUUUAGCCACCAGCUAAACACCAUCAAAAUCAGCCCCCUAAAGCUCCCAAAACAGCCCAUAAAUAUCCCCUCUUUCAACCUAAAAAACGCCGCCGAAACAAGCUCUCAAACCCAGCAAAAAUCCAUCCAAAACUAUCCCCAAAUCUUAGCCAAAAACCAGCUGAAAAUCAACUCUAAAACACCCGAAAAUAUCAGCCAAAACACAGCUCAAACAGAUCCAAAAUACAGCUGCAUCGCACCACAAAACCCACGCCACAGUAGCUUCAAAACAGUCCCGAACACUGCUGCGUUUCUGCUUUAGAAAGGUCAAAUUGAUCUCUUUCUUUUCGAAUUCCCGAUGAGUUGCGAGGCUGCCGGAGAGGUGGUUCUGAGGUCGUUCGAGGCGCCGAUGUCGUUGGCAAAUAUUCUGGUCAAGAGUUGUCUAAUUUUCAAGUUGGUUGUAACUUAGGCUCAAAUUCAAUACAAAGGUCUGAUAUUUUAACUCUUCCGCCUAUUUCUUUUUUAUCAACUUCAAUAAUAGCUGCUACUUUGGUUCAGUUUCUCUUUGUUUAAAUGUUUUGAUUUCAAUUUUGCGUUUCUAUGUGGUUAGUUAGCUUUAUGCUUCAUCAUCUUAGUCCUCAAAUCACACAUAAUAAUAUCAAAACCACGAAUCGUCGAUCAAGAUCAAUCACUUAAGUUCAUAAACUUCAAACUUCGAAUCAAGCGUCCGAUUCAAGCCUAACCAAUCAGGAAUGAAUCCAAAUUUGGCAUACAAGUUCGAAAUGACAUAUCGAACCUAUUCUAACUCCCGGAACAAUAAUCCGAACCAGAUAACAUAAAAGUCAACUCUUGGUCAAACUUAUGAACUUUUCAAACCUUUAAAUUGCCAACUUUUGCCAAAUAGUGCCAAAACCUUUUAGAAGCCUCCAAAUUCGGGCAUACACUCAAGUCCAAAAUCACCAUACGGACCUAACGGAACCAUCAAAACUCCGAUUCGAGGUCAAAUACACAAAAGUCAAACUUGGUCAACUCCUUCAACUUAAAGUUUCUAAAAUAAAAAUCAUUCUUCCAAAUCAAUUCUGAAUCACACGAAAUCCAAAAUUGACGACACACGCAAUUUAUAAUACAUCAUAUGAAGCUACUCAUGUCCUCGAACCAUCGAACGGAGUGCAAAUACUCAAAACAACUGAUCGGGUCGUUACAUGGAAUGUAGCUUCCAUGUAGCUUCAGUUGGAAAGUUAUUAUGGCAAUUAAAUGAGAAAAAAGAUCUCUUGUGGGUGAGAUGAGUGCAUGGAGUAUACAUAAAGCAAAAUGAAAAUAUAUGGGAUGAUAAUCCUCCAAUCGAUAACAGUUGGUACUACAGAAAAUUGGAUACCCUUAAGAGUGGAAUGAUGCAAUGGUACCCGAACAGUAGAUAUCAACUUACAACUAAUGGGGAGUACUAACUAAGAGCUAUAAUGUUAUGCUAACAUGUCUAGAAAGAUUAAAGGAGGUUGACUUAAUCUGGAGCAAAGCAAUGCAACCUAAGCACAGGUUCAUUGUUUGGUUAGCCAACCAGAACAAGGUGCUCACAAAAAAGAGGCUCCAAAGGCUCCAUAUUCCAGUGGCAGAUAAUAUAUGUUAUUUGUGUGAUGAAGGAAAGGCAAAAAAUCCACAGCACCUAUUUGUAGAGUGUGCAUGGAUAAGUGAAGUUAGGCAAGGUCUCAGUAAUUGGUCUGGAAUAUAUAUAACUAACAAGGGGUCACACAAUAGUUGCAGUGGAUGAAAAAUAGGAGAUGAAGAAAGAAGUGGUGGCAGCCAUUUAGCGAGCAAUGAUAGACGACACAUGGCAAGCAAGGAAUUGAAGAAUUUUUAGACGCACCAAUGUGAAUACACAGUUUGCAAUUCCACAGAUACAGAAAGAAGUCAAAAUUAGACUAGAGAGUAUACAAACAUCAAAGAAAGCAAAAGAAAUUGUCAAAGUCGGUCCCAGAAAUUAUGUAAUUAGUUAGGUAUUGUUUAUGUUUGUUACUGUUUCUAUUAGUUUGAUUAAAUAGAGGAUGUGUUUUCUUGUUGGUUGAUUGGAG